CCGAUUUGCUUCCUCAAGAUUUCAGAGUGUGCAUCUGAGAAUUCUGACUGUGCAUCAUAAAGUUUCCCUCAGCAACUGCUAAAACUAUUCACGAGGCACUGCAGCAUGGAGCAGCUCUCAAAGAUGGGUUGGACUUUCAAUACUUAUGCAUCUAGUUAGGAAACACAUCGUGCAGAAUGAAAAAAAAGGAAGAAAUGGCACUUUCAUGUUUCUGUUUGCAAGCUGGAUUCAUCACUCCUCAGCUAUUAGCUACAGAGUCACAGAUGGAGGAUGGUUUGCUGGAAAAUAAAUGAAGCACAAGGAUGACUUCAAACAUUUGCAGGAGCCAUGCUGACACUCAAAAUAUAGAAACAUCAAGUAACUUUCCUGGUGAGAUCAUAAAAGCAGAGCCACAGUGAUCAAAGAAGAAAAUGCAAGACUCUUACUCCAUUCCUAAUACAAGAUCCAUUCUCCUUCUGGGACCAGGAGCCUCCAUGGCACAGAGAUGCUCCCAUAGUCUACAAAUACAGUACAUAAGCUACGGGACCAGAUGGCUCCCACACAUAAUGCUCUGAAUCAUGGCAAGGCUCGAGGUGUUUGUUCUGUGGCACAGCAAACACACUCUGGACCAGGUUAAACCCCCUCUCAGCCACAUAUGGUGCACGCUGCGUGGAGCUGCAGCAGGUGCCUAUGGAUCCACACAGAGGAAGAUCCUUUUCUUCUUGCAGGUUGUCAGGAAAAUGACUGUCAUACCUUCAGCACAAAUAGCAGGGAAGAGAGGCAGUGCAGUAACACAUGGCACAGGACAGAUGCUCGGCGCUUCCUGGGAUGCACAAUGCCUGAUGGCAAGGAAUCCUGGCGGGCCAAGGACAGGAGGCUCUUGUUCCCCCUCUGAUUUCUCCAUGCAGCUUGUGAUUAAACUGGUGCUGACACCUUGCCUAGUGCCUGUUUGCACAGCCAAUAGCUCUGGGCAGGACUUCUGGCCGUAAAGCACCUACUGGAAAAGGAGAGAAUCUCAUUGUUUGAGAGCAUCUUUGCCCCUGGCAUUUGUUAAAUAGAAAAUAAAACCGAUUUUCUCCUCACUUGCCUCACAUAGAUGUGGGUAGAUUCAAGCUGUGGCAGCCCUGUGAAAUGAGGGUGAAUGGGGAGGUGUUUGCCAAUGGAACAACCACUGCUCAGGAAGACAAGGCUGGAGGGAUUGCACAGCAUGUGAUGUGUGCUUCAGUGACAAGACCAUAAACACCACCCUGUAGUUGUCCCUCACUGAUCCAUCACACUUCUGAGCACUGAAAAACCCUGUAAUAAUGAAGGUGCUUUUUCAAUACCUAGGAGAUGGCUGUUUCAGAGAAUUCCAGCCUGCCAUGCUGGGGCUCAGCGCAAGCACCAAAUCCCAGGGUGGCUGAGGGAUGUCCUGGAUCGCA